AUUGAACGCUGGCGGCAGGCCUAACACAUGCAAGUCGAGCGGAGCGGCGGACGGGUGAGUAAUGCCUGGGAAUCUGCCUGGUAGUGGGGGAUACCGUCCGGAAACGGGCGCUAAUACCGCAUACUAUCAGAUGAGCCUAGGUCGGAUUAGCUAGUUGGUGGGGUAAAGGCCUACCAAGGCGACGAUCCGUAACUGGUCUGAGAGGAUGAUCAGUCACCCUUGAACGGAGACACGGUCUAGACUCAUACGAGAGGCAGCAGGGGGGAAUCUUGGAGCAUGGGAUACAGCCUGAUCCAGCCAUGCCGCGUGUGUGAAGAAGGUCUUCGGAUUGUAGAGCACUUUAAGUUGGGAGCGGCUACCAACAGAAUAAGCACCGGCAAACUGAGUGCCAGCAGCCGCGGUAAUAC
rnacentral:rRNA from 1 species